GCUGCUCGAAAUUACAUACCUCUUCGUGGUGAGCAGUAGGCAACGUAAUAUCUAUUACGGCAGAAAUGUAUUA
rnacentral:ribozyme from 1 species